AUGGAGGGAAAACAACAAUGGGACAUGGUGGACCCUGGAUUCAAGCUUUGCGCUCCAGUUUUGAAGAGAGCGGCAGGUAGACCAAGGAAGAGUCGAAUCAGACCUCGCAACAAAGGAGCUGGACUUGGAGCGAGGAAGCGUAAGUGCACAAGGUGUGGUGGGUCUGGUCAUUUCGGUAAGUAUUGUGAUAACACACUAGAUCCAGCGUUCGGAGAGAGUUUCGAUGAAGGCUUCGAUGAAAAUGUUGGUCAGCAGCCGGUUGCCUCAACAGAUGAUGAAAAUGAUGAUCAACAACCAGUUGCAUCAGAUGAGGAUUUUGACGAGGUUCCAAAUGAUGAUGGUCAA
rnacentral:rRNA from 1 species